CAAGUAAGCGAAGAUGAUCAAAUCAUGCACAUCCUCUCUGGCCUUGGCUCAGAAUAUGACUCAGUUAUGGUUACUAUCACCUCAAAACCUGAGGCCUGGACUCUUGGUGAUGUUAGCUCUCUCCUUCUCAGUUUUGAAA